UGCAGAGGGGGCAAGCGUUGUUCGGAAUUACUGGGCGUAAAGGGCGCGUAGGCGGCCUGUUAAGUCGGACGUGAAAUCCCUCGGCUCAACCGGGGAACUGCGUCUGAUACUGACGGGCUUGAGUUCGGUUAAGGCGGGCGGAACUGGUGGUGUAGCGGUGAAAUGCAUAGAUACCACCAAGAACCCCGAUUGCGUAGGCAGCUCGCUGAGCCGAAACUGACGCUGAGGCACGAAAGCGUGGGGAGCGAACAGG
rnacentral:rRNA from 1 species